CCCUUCUCACCCUGAAGGGGACUCAGGGCGGAUCACAAUGUGCACAUAUAAUGGCAAACAUUCAAUGUCAUAUAAACAUAGAGACAGAGACAGAGACGCAGAGGCGAUUUAACAUUCUUUUGUAUCCUUUGCUUCAGGCCGCAAAAAUGUUUUUGCUCAAUCCUGCCUGGAUAAUGCAUAGACUUCAGAUGAUGACAACAAUAAGGAAGGUAACUGCACCAAGCAAACACACAAGAAUCCAUAUUCCUCAGGAAAAACAUACAGCUUUAUUGAAGGGCAUGUUGCCAACAUCUUCAGUUUGACUGGUGCAGCAAUUUUGAAAGCAUUGUGGUUUUCGUCUUAUCUCCAACCUGGCCAGAGACAAGCAGCAUCUCAUGCCACUGUGUGAAGAUGGCCACAGUUAGGAUAAAGAGGACACAGGGCCUGCAUGCAUCAUAGUUGUUUGAUGUGGCUCCCUGGACUGAGCCAUCUUAUAUGGAAGAGGAAAAGGGCAGGCAGACUAUUAGUGAAUUGCUAGGAAUGCUGUAAAACUCUGUAGCCUGUCUGAACCUUCAGGUCUCAAUUACUUAUUGAAGCAAGUUAUUGCCCAUUUCUGCGUGUUAUCUGCCUUCAAAUUGAUUUUGGCGUCUCAUGGCCCUAUGAUUCAAGAGAUUACAAAACAAAUUACUAGUGACCACCUCAUUAGUUCUAGGAAACUCAGGACUAUGACUGUGUGUUUGAUCUUCAUUUUGUCCCAUUGCCCUCAACUUUCUCCAGUGCAUUUUUUAGCAUAUCAUGUUUUCUGAUGUUCUGCCCAAAGUACUUUAAUUUUAAUUUAGUUCCCUUCUAGUAAAAAUUCAUGAAUGAUUUCCUCUGGAACCAUUUCUUUGUGUAUUUUUUAGCAGUGCAUGUUAUCUGUAAAAUUCUCCACUUGCUCCACAUUCCAUUGGGUAUAUUGUGGGACAAAUGUUGAGACAGCUAAAUCCUCCCUGGUGGAAUUUGGAAAAUAAAAGUUAGAUAACUUGGUACUUACUUAGGCGAUUCCUCAUUGUCUGAGUACGAUGGCCUUUCCAAUGUAGUGUCUUGGCGGUGGAUACGUAGGUGACUGUGGAGACCUAUUCUUGACCCACAUGUUCUUCCACAGUGAGGACAUUGGUUUCCAAGUGGAAGGGUUGGCUUGAUGCGCCUUCCUCUUGGCAUGUUUCUCCCUUUCGCCCUCCAUUCGUGGAGGAAAGAAGAUAGAUGUCCAAAGAAGGAUUCUCAAAAAGCUAAGCUAGUGCUCCAAAACAGGCAGGCAGGCACUGUAGGCUAGGCAAAAAAAUAAAAUAAAAAUUGAAUGGAUGGAGCUAAGAGACAGAUUCUCUUUCCAACUCCAUGUGCUAUCCAGAAAAUGAAGGAGCCAUGCAGACAGAAUAGACCAGCUUUGCAGAAAGCCGCAUGAUUUACUUUCUUCUUCUGAUUGGCUGAAAGGGAAAAAAACCUGUGUGUAGCUGCCCUUGUCAAUCAUGGCAGACAGAAACACACACACCCCAGCACCCCCUCCCAGCCCAGGGCAGCAGAGUAAUAUGUUAGAUUGGGAAAAAAGUCUGAAUAUGUUUUUUUUAGUUUAACCAAAAAAUUUGUCAUCUUGUGUUUGAUUCAUUGAUGCUUCGGGGAAGGUCUUCCUGCAUUUUGCUUUGGCAGUUCAUAUCUACAAAUAACCGAAUUUUUCUGAAACCCCAAACAACAUCCAAAGUAUUGCACACCUCUAUCAAUUAUUUGUACAUGGAACCUUGUCUCCCAGUAUGUUUUGGCUUUACUGUCUUUCCUUAAUGGCUGCUGGAAUUAAGAUUAUAGAACCAGUUACCUUUGUCUCAUUAUGGAGCAGUUCUGAAUCAAGGAAUUGGGCUCCCUGGGGUCAAGAACAAAAAAUGGUGAAAAGGAAAUCAAGGAGAGGAAGAGAUCAGAUCUUUUAGUGAUCAGUAAUCUGUAGGGCGGCCAUGCAUUAAAAUGGACUUGAGGGCACCUAAUAGGAACACACAAUACAAUGAUACCCUUGAAUACCCAAGGAAGGACAGACUAUAUGGUUCCUCGGUGUCCAUGCCAAUGAACACAUUGUUCUGCCUGCCUGGAGGCCCCUUCCCAUUUCCUUUUGAAGCAUCUUAUAAGGAGCUUAGCCCAGCACUGGGACCCACAUCCAUCAGUCAUGGUGCAGGCUGGAUCCUUUGUCUUCUCCAUUCUGACUGUAGGAGUCUUCAUCACAUUAUCGUCUGAUCUUCUGGGCAUUCCUGGUCACACAGAUGCACAGCCUCCAAAAUGCUUGCUCCCUUCGGAUCCUGGUACUGGUGAGAAAAAUAUAAAAGCCUGGUACUACAGCAAGUCAGAGAAGGAUUGUUUGGAGUUCACCUAUCAUGGUACUUGGGGCAAUCAAAAUAGAUUCAAGAGUAAAAAAGCUUGCCUGAAGGAAUGUGGGAAAAAGAAAAAGCCGAAAUGAUGCAGACCACAGGGUGGCACAUUUGCAGAUCCAUGAACAUGCCACUGGCUCUUUUAAAAUAAAGGUACUUGGGCAAACUCUGGUGCUUCCCAAACUACUGCAUCAAUCUCAUUGGAAAUCUUUGCAUGCUCUUCAAUAAACUGUUGUCUUCUUUUAGCAUAUGAUUUUCUUCUUCUUCGUUGUGCUGUAUCUUUACCUAGUUGACUUAAUUUUCUAAAUGAAUGAAUUGAAGAUGAAUAUGAAACAUUAUAGCCAAAUAGAAGACAAAGGUCCACAUGUUAAUAGAAGAUCAUUUCCUUUAUUUUUAAAAAUCUCUCUAAAACAAAUAAGGCAAAUUGUCAUUUAUUUUCAGGUGGAGUGUUGUCUCUUAUUUUGCUUUUACUUUACUGUCUUUCCUCAGUCUGUUGCAGCCUUCUUCCGCCUUCACAGCCAUUGUAACAUGUACCAUGUUAUCCUCCACCUGCUCCGCCGUUGAGGUCUUUGGGUCUUUGGAUUGUUCUUGGUCUGGAUCCUCCCCUGUGGCCACUCCAGGGAGUGCAUGACUCCCUGGGGUCAGGGCUGGGCUGUGGCGCAGGCUGGUAAACAGCUGCUGCAAUAAAUCACUCUGACCAUGAGGUCAUGAGUUUGAGGCCAGCCCAUGGCGGGGUGAGCACCCGUCAAUUAAAAAUAAAAAAUAUAGCCCCUGCUCGUUGCUGACCUAGCAACCCGAAAGAUAGUUGCAUCUAUCAAGUAGGAAAAAAGGUACCACUUAUAAAAGUGGGGAGGCAAGUUUAACUAAUUUACAAUGUUGGAAUGAGGAAGUGAGGAAGUGCCGUCAGAGUGGAUGAUGAAGCAGCUGCUCCCCCCUGUGGCCAGAAUCGAACAUCCCCUCAGGAGAAGGUUAAAUUGCCUCUGCGUCUGUCUGUCUGUGUCUCGGUUCGAUGUGUUUAUGGGCAUUGAAUGUUUGCCCUAUAUGUACAUAAUGUGAUCCGACCUGAGUCCCCUUCAGGGUGAGAAGGGCAGAAUAUAAAUACUGUAAAAAAAAUGUCUCCAGUGGUUGUGCCCUCAGGUUCAUUGGAACACGCAAGCCCCCUCACCACGUCAAGGUGACAAUCCAUUGAGGGAUUGUUGUGUUAAUCACACCACUGCUGGGACCUCAAUCUGUGAAGACUGUGUGUUGACUGGCCGUGCACCGAUCUCCACACAUUAAAAAAAUCAUACACAGAAAUGGAGGACCAUCAUCCUCGAACUACGAGGGAUCGUCUAAGUACUGUCUUUCCUUAAUAGAUACUGUGUCAGCUUCUGCUGGUAGCUCCUAACAAUGAACCAGUACUCACACUCCAGGUGGACAUAGCCAACUUUAUUGCUACUACACACACAGAGAGAGACAAUGACACUACUAAAUUCCCCAUAUAGCUUCCCCCUUUUCUAGUGCUCUUCCCUCCUUCCCUUCCACAGCUUUCUCCAACUCCUGUGAAUGGUUUCUCCUGAUUAUCGCUUCCUCCCACCACUGCUCUCCUCCUCCAGGUUCCUUUGUUAACGUUGACCUUGCUUCAGGUAUGUUGGCAGGGGCAGGAGUCAAACAUUUGUUUGUCCAAGCUUUGAAUCAUGUCCUGACAUACUGGAGUUCAGAUUCUUGGACCAGCACAGCCUCCAAAGUGCUCGCUCCCUCCAGAUCCUGGGACUGGUGAUAAAAGAAUAAACGCCUGGUACUACAGCAUGCGUGACAAGAAAUGUUAUGUGUUUGCCUAUCUUGGUACUUGGGGCAAUAAAAAUAGAUUCACGAGUGAAAAAGAUUGCAUGAAGGAAUGUGGAAAAUAAGAAAAACUUAAAUGUGUACUAUGCAGACCACAGGGUAGAACAUUUACAGGUCUAUUAACGUGCCACUGGCUCUUUUAAAAUAAAGGCACUUGGGGAAACUCUGGUGCUUCCAGACUGCCGUACCAAUCUUCAAUAAACGCUUCUCUUCUUCCUGCAUAUGAUUUUUUUUCCUUCCUUGCACUGUAUUUAUCUAGAUGACUUUAUUUUCUAAAUGAAAGAAUUGAAUAUGAA